CGCGUAGGCGGACCUUCAAGUCGGGUGUGAAAACUGGCAGCUUAACUGCCAGCCUGCACUCGAUACUGUUGGUCUUGAGUACAGUAGAGGAAAGCGGAAUUCCAGGUGUAGCGGUGAAAUGCGUAGAUAUCUGGAAGAACACCGGUAGCGAAGGCGGCUUUCUGGGCUGAUACUGACGCUGAAGCGCGAAGGCUAGGGUAGCAAACA
rnacentral:rRNA from 1 species